rnacentral:rRNA from 1 species
AGGCUUGACAUACACGAGAACGCUGCAGAAAUGUAGAACUCUUUGGACACUCGUGAACAGGUGGUGCAUGGUUGUCGUCAGCUCGUGUCGUGAGAUGUUGGGUUAAGUCCCGCAACGAGCGCAACCCUCGUUCUAUGUUGCCAGCACGUAAUGGUGGGAACUCAUGGGAUACUGCCGGGGUCAACUCGGAGGAAGGUGGGGAUGACGUCAAAUCAUCAUGCCCCUUAUGUCUUGGGCUUCACGCAUGCUACAAUGGCCGGUACAAAGGGCUGCAAUACCGUGAGGUGGAGCGAAUCCCAAAAAGCCGGUCCCAGUUCGGAUUGAGGUCUGCAACUCGACCUCAUGAAGUCGGAGUCGCUAGUAAUCGCAGAUCAGCAACGCUGCGGUGAAUACGUUCCCGGGUCUUGUACACACCGCCCGUCAAGUCAUGAAAGUCGGUAACACCUGAAGCCGGUGGCCCAACCCUUGUGGAGGGAGCCGUCGAAGGUGGGAUCGGUAAUUAGGACU